rnacentral:rRNA from 1 species
UGCAGCCGAGCGGUAUGAUUCUUUCGGGAAUCAGAGAGCGGCGUACGGGUGCGGAACACGUGUGCAACCUGCCUUUAUCUGGGGGAUAGCCUUUCGAAAGGAAGAUUAAUACCCCAUAAUAUAUUAAGUGGCAUCACUUGAUAUUGAAAACUCCGGUGGAUAGAGAUGGGCACGCGCAAGAUUAGAUAGUUGGUGAGGUAACGGCUCACCAAGUCAGUGAUCUUUAGGGGGCCUGAGAGGGUGAUCCCCCACACUGGUACUGAGACACGGACCAGACUCCUACGGGAGGCAGCAGUGAGGAAUAUUGGACAAUGGGUGAGAGCCUGAUCCAGCCAUCCCGCGUGAAGGACGACGGCCCUAUGGGUUGUAAACUUCUUUUGUAUAGGGAUAAACCUUUCCACGUGUGGAAAGCUGAAGGUACUAUACGAAUAAGCACCGGCUAACUCCGUGCCAGCAGCCGCGGUAAUACGGAGGGUGCAAGCGUUAUCCGGAUUUAUUGGGUUUAAAGGGUCCGUAGGCGGAUGUGUAAGUCAGUGGUGAAAUCUUUCGGCUUAACCGGAAAACUGCCAUUGAUACUGCAUGUCUUGAGUAAGGUAGAAGUGGCUGGAAUAAGUAGUGUAGCGGUGAAAUGCAUAGAUAUUACUUAGAACACCAAUUGCGAAGGCAGGUCACUAUGUCUUAACUGACGCUGAUGGACGAAAGCGUGGGGAGCGAACAGG